rnacentral:rRNA from 1 species
UCCCCUACGGGAGGCAGCAGUGAGGAAUAUUGGUCAAUGGGCGGAAGCCUGAACCAGCCAAGUCGCGUGAGGGAAUAAGGCCCUACGGGUCGUAAACCUCUUUUGUCGGAGAACAAAACCCGGGACGUGUCCCGGACUGCGUGUAUCCGAAGAAAAAGCAUCGGCUAACUCCGUGCCAGCAGCCGCGGUAAUACGGAGGAUGCGAGCGUUAUCCGGAUUUAUUGGGUUUAAAGGGUGCGUAGGCGGUCCGUUAAGUCAGCGGUAAAAUUGCGGGGCUCAACCCUGUCGAGCCGUUGAAACUGGCA